UACGUAGGGGGCAAGCGUUGUCCGGAUUUAUUGGGCGUAAAGAGCGUGUAGGCGGUUUGGUAGGUCCGUUGUGAAAACUCGAGGCUCAACCUCGAGACGCCGAUGGAAACCCUCAGACUAGAGUCCGGAAGAGGAGAGUGGAAUUCCUGGUGUAGCGGUGAAAUGCGCAGAUAUCAGGAAGAACACCCGUGGCUAAGGCGGCUCUCUAGUACGUGACUGACGCUGAGACGCGAAAGCGUGGGGAGCGAACAGG
rnacentral:rRNA from 1 species